rnacentral:rRNA from 1 species
AACGUAGGAGACAAACGUUAUCCGGAGUUACUGGGCGUAAAGGGCGUGUAGGUGGUGCUGUAAGUUCGGCGUGAAAUUUUUCGGCUUAACCGGGAAAGGUCGUCGGAUACUGCAGGACUAGAGGACGGUAGAGGCGUGUGGAAUUCCGGGUGUAGUGGUGAAAUGCGUAGAGAUCCGGAGGAACACCAGUGGCGAAGGCGACACGCUGGGCCGUACCUGACACUGAGGCGCGAUAGCAUGGGGGAGCAAACAGG